rnacentral:lncRNA from 1 species
CCAGUAUUCCAUUUACAAAUCGAACUGUGAUGGUUUGCACAAGAGCAUAGCCAGCAAGGUCCAGUGGACUUAUAUGACCAAUAAAUGAUUGUGUGACCACUAUGGUUCCAAAUGAACCCACUCUUGAUAUGACUCCAGGUAGUGCAACCCUCCAUAUAUUCUUAGAUUCUUGUAAAAUCUUUGAUUUUAAAUCAGUUUCUUCUUCUUGAACUUUUGGCACUAUAAGCCUCUCGUUCAAUCCAUUCUCCAUACUUCUGCAAAGUGUUCCAGAAUGAUCAUCAGAGGGGUACAAAAUGUGCUUCUCGCCACAAAAUUUUGAUGCAAAGAAGUGCUAGAGCAUUUUCUUCUAUGUUUUGCUAUUUAAAUAUACAACUUACCAACUUCAGGUUGCCCGUUUAUAUCAGUAAGAGACUAUUACUAAGGUUUUCAUAAACAAUUCUAUGUGUAAGAAUCAGAAUUUUUGUUAAUAUAAAAAUACCACAUAUCACUCCCAACACCACUAAACACAUGUUGAAAAAUGAAGCAGUGACAUGGGAAUUAUAUUCCCAUGGGCCAUGGUCAUGGACUAAUGCCAUAUUUAGCUACAUUUCCUAAAAUACAAUAAGCAAUAACACCAUUACUCCAUGAAUAUUUCCAUGAACUAUGGCCAGAGCAGUUGAUUGAUUGUUGAAAAACAUGCAUAUCUCCAUGGAUCCGGAUCUAAGAUGCACAAGCAGUCAAUUAAAAUAUUACCUACUUUAUAUUUCAAUGGAAUGAACCACAGUGAUAUAUAUCCUCCCCUUUUUGCUAUAGACUCUUCCUGGCCGAGUAGCAUGAAUAACUGGCUUCCAAAUAUGAAUACUGGGAGCAAGAUAGUCAAAGUAAUCAAAUCAACAAUCCAUGACCGUUGCAAGUAGAUACCCAUCAUAUGGUAUUGUCCUGCUCCAAAUGCUUGCCCACAAAGGGUUUCAGUUGCACUUGACAUUCCUAACUGCAAAAGGAAAUAAUAAGUAUGAUGUAAUAUUUACAACUAACAAAGAAGUUUAAAAAUUCUCAGUUCCAAGUGCAAAGGUAACUGAAAGAGUUUAUAGAUAUUAACUCACCAGUAUUCCAUUUACAAAUCGAACUGUGAUGGUUUGCACAAGAGCAUAGCCAGCAAGGUCCAGUGGACUUAUAUGACCAAUAAAUGAUUGUGUGACCACUAUGGUUCCAAAUGAACCCACUCUUGAUAUGACUCCAGGUAGUGCAACCCUCCAUAUAUUCUUAGAUUCUUGUAAAAUCUUUGAUUUUAAAUCAGUUUCUUCUUCUUGAACUUUUGGCACUAUAAGCCUCUCGUUCAAUCCAUUCUCCAUACUUCUGCAAAGUGUUCCAGAAUGAUCAUCAGAGGGGUACAAAAUGUGCUUCUCGCCACAAAAUUUUGAUGCAAAGAAGUGCUAGAGCAUUUUCUUCUAUGUUUUGCUAUUUAAAUAUACAACUUACCAACUUCAGGUUGCCCGUUUAUAUCAGUAAGAGACUAUUACUAAGGUUUUCAUAAACAAUUCUAUGUGUAAGAAUCAGAAUUUUUGUUAAUAUAAAAAUACCACAUAUCACUCCCAACACCACUAAACACAUGUUGAAAAAUGAAGCAGUGACAUGGGAAUUAUAUUCCCAUGGGCCAUGGUCAUGGACUAAUGCCAUAUUUAGCUACAUUUCCUAAAAUACAAUAAGCAAUAACACCAUUACUCCAUGAAUAUUUCCAUGAACUAUGGCCAGAGCAGUUGAUUGAUUGUUGAAAAACAUGCAUAUCUCCAUGGAUCCGGAUCUAAGAUGCACAAGCAGUCAAUUAAAAUAUUACCUACUUUAUAUUUCUGGGCCAAAUGACCCCAGUACCAACUACUACUUUUUACUACAAAAUAAAGUAGGAAAGCUUCUUUUUCUCUUCAAUAAAAAGGGUGUCUGCUCCUAUUGUUUUAUUCAACAUAUUACUAUAAAUCAAAGUCAGAAACCAACAGACCAGAUUCACUUUUUCCGGUGAAUGAGGCCUUUAUCUUCUACCAGUUAUUGUAUUAGAAUUUAGGAGGCAAGACCAGAGAAGAUGAUCUUAACUUGAAAUAUACAUGAUCAGAUAUCAUGAGAGGGUCAACUUAAACUGAUCAAACAUGACUACAAGAGUGAAGAGGUAAUAAUGGAAAUACAAGUACCAAAAAAGAACCACAAAAUCAUCAAGUAUGUAAUAUGUUUGUCAAUGAUUAUAGUGGGACUAAAGCAGAGCCAUGUUUUAUUUGCUUAUCAUCUAAACAGAAGUAUAAGUGUGCAUAUAAAUUUCAGAGUCUUGAUUAUUGGGUAGCCUAGCAAUAUCAGCAUAACAUGAAAAAGAUG